ensembl:lncRNA
AUGAGAAGGAAAGCAUGGGUGGUGAGAGGCCGGAAACUAGCUCAGAAGAUCGUUGAUAACUGUGUGAUAUGCAGGAGACUUAAGGCCCGAAGGUGCCAACAGAUCAUGAGUGACCUUCCAUCGGAGCGAAUAACACCAGCCAAUCCAUUUGAGUACACAACGGUGGACUUAUUUGGACCAUAUGAAGUGAAGGAUGAGGUAAGAAAGAAAGUGAAACUCAAGGUGUGGGGAAUCGUCUUCUGUUGCAUGGCGUCCAGAGCUAUGCACACAGACCUAGUCAGUGACCAGUCGGCUGAAGGCUUCCUGCUAGCCUACCAAAGAUUUACGGCACUGAGAGGACAACCAAGGAAAUUGUCGUCGGAUCCUGGGAACUUUGUCGGAGCCAAACCUGCCCUCAAAGAGCUCCACAUGUUUCUGGACCGACUGGAGAAAUCAGAGCUUGGAAAUGACGGUUCCAAGCAUGGCACAGAGUGGAGCUGGAAGAUCCAUCCAGCAGACUCACUUCACAGAAACGGAGCUGCUGAGGCUGCUGUUCGGACUGUGAAGCGGGCUUUGCACAAUCUGGGGGGUAAUGGAGUCUUCACAUGGGGUGAGUUUCAAACUUUCCUCUAUAUGGCUUCCAACCUCGCCAAUGAACGACCAAUCGAUGCCAGGACUCAGAGCCGAGAGGACUGUAUAGAAUACAUUAGCCCAAAUGCACUUCUGCUUGGAAGAACUGGACCCAGAGGGGAUCCAGGGACCUUUGACUUUAAAGGCUACUCUUACAGCAGGUUAAGAACCAUCCAAACAGAAGUUGACAGGUUCUGGAGGAAAUGGAGCCAGUUAGCCGGACCAAACUUGUUUGUCCGGACUAAGUGGCACACAGCUCACAGGAAUGUGGCAAUUAGAGAUGUCGUCUGGCUGGCCGACCAGAACGCCUUGAGAGUCCCCUUGAGUCAGUUCAGGCUUGCCAGGGUCAUUGACGUCAGCACUGACGGGAAGGGAAUUGUGAGGGAUGUAUAUCUCCGAUCCUUUCCCAGCUACCCAGUCGCAACUGUGACACCCCCAAAAAAAGAGGAAAAAACGCUCGAGCAAGAUACCUGCAACAAUUCUUCACAGGGAUGUCCGGCGGGUAGUUGUCCUACUCCCAGUUGA